CAUGUGAUCAAACUACAAAUAAAAAUUUGGAGUAAUAAUCAUGUACAUAAAAUAUCUUAACAUGUUGGUUUUUCGAUAUAAUUAUUUCAGAGUAAGUAAUAGGGUACCCUGGUCUUGGAUAUGCCCAUUAGAAUUCAUAUACUCUCUGAUAAUGCAACUGGAAUUUUUUGUUGUGUAAUUUUAUAUAAUAAAUCUGUGUAAUCUCUUAAAAUAAAAUGCCUCGGAGUUUUAAAGUAGUUUUUAAAGUAGUUGAAUCUAGGGUAUUUGAUAUCUUUAUAUUGGUUACAUUUUUAUCCCUCAAGUUUGUAACUUGGAAAUCACUGGAAUAGCUGUUUUAAAAAAGAUCACAACUUGACAGCUUAGUUUUUCAAUAUUGUAUUAAGAUUUAUGUUUAAUUUCCUGUUUUGCAUAAUGCUCACAAGAUUAAAAAUCUUGAUAUUAUGUCUAAUUUACUUUAAAUAUGUCAAUACCACACAGUGGGAUAUUAUGUAUGUGCUAGAAGUUAAGCUUCAAAUCUAGGUUGAGAAUCUACAGCACACUGAUUGAGAAUCUGUGCUGUAUGGGUUACCCUAAUUGAGAAUCCAUCCUGCACAGCUUUUAGCUAACAUUCUAAUCAAUUACAUCGGUUAUUCACAAGUUAACACCUGAGGCAAUACUAAUCAUAAUGGUUGCUAGAAAUAAUUUUGUAUAAAAAUGUUGUUGCCUUUUAUUUCGGAGUUCUGACACCUUAUGAUGUGCUUUCUUCAGAGUGUGGAGGAGGUCCCCACUGAAGAAAUUCAUCAGGAAACCUCCAUGUGGGACAAAGCAUAUCUGAAUGUGGCAUGACAUUGACAUUGGAGCAAUUAUUCCGGAGACAAACCCUACCAAGGGCUCAGCCCACCCUGCCCUAUGUGCCUUCAAAACGGGCACAGAAAAAAGGGACCCUCUUGAAAGCUCCACAGGGGCUUCUUCAAAGACAGGGACUUGGCUGUCAAGCUGGGUCACAGACUGGG
rnacentral:lncRNA from 10 species